UACGUAGGGUGCAAGCGUUGUCCGGAAUUAUUGGGCGUAAAGAGCUCGUAGGCGGCUUGUCACGUCGACUGUGAAAACCCGGGGCUCAACUCCGGGCCUGCAGUCGAUACGGGCUGGCUUGAGUGCGGUAGGGGAGACUGGAAUUCCUGGUGUAGCGGUGAAAUGCGCAGAUAUCAGGAGGAACACCGGUGGCGAAGGCGGGUCUCUGGGCCGGUAUUGACGCUGAGUGAGCGAAAGCCAGGGGAGCAAACGGG
rnacentral:rRNA from 1 species